UAACACAUAUGAGGAAAUUACUUCUACAGC
rnacentral:piRNA from 1 species